CAGGGGACCGCGCGUCCCCGUCCCGUUGUGCCGGCUCGCAGAGUGCGGACGGGUGUGUUGAGUGUGUGGUGUCCAGUGUCGUCUUGCGUCUCCUCUUCCGACCAUUGCUAAGUAAAAAAAAAAAAAAAACUGGCGCUGAAACGUUCUCUUCAAAAUGGUGGCGAUCACCGUCGUCACUCACUUGCCUGCGGCAAAGGGAAAAAGUGCUGCCGGUGGCGUCAUGUAGUGCCAUGCCUUGAAACACGGCCCGGAGUGCGAGGCUCGACGGGCGACUCAACCCCCAUGGCCCUGACUCAACCGCUCAAGAUGUGAAAAUGUCGGAGACUGAGCGGCGGCCGAGGGCGAGGUUGUGUGACGUGACGUGAUGUGUGAAGUGUAGCUGACUCGAAAAAAGUGAAGAGCUGUGCAUACUGCAUAUAUCAUAGAAAUACAUUUUCCCCCCGAAUAUUGACUGUGACGGUGACACUGGAAUAUUUUAGGUAAUUACGGGAUACGUGAUUUCGUACACGUAUAGGUCUGUCGACAACAACAUCGAGACAAUGUUGUAUCAACAUGGAAACAAUGUUGAAU